UUGACUCUCCGUGGAUUUUGGCACCAAACCCUGGGAGGCUGGGACUCUGAGCACAGGGACACACAACCGAUGGCGCCGUUCACGCACAAACACUGUCCUGUGUGAGUUUCUGUGGAUCGGUUUCCUUCUCACAACCCCAUCAGAUCACAUUGAAUAGGCUUGUCCGAGCUGUAGUCACAGUACAGCCCCUUGUGGAAGUCGCAGGUGUCGGCCUCGUUGCACUCCUCCCCGACCUGCCUGGCGCAGGCCUUGCAGCAGUCGCAGCCAUCCAUGAGG